AGUUCUUUCUUGUCGGAAAAGAAACAAUUAUCCAGUUGCACGUUGUACCAUUUCAACACGUUGGUCAGUUCCGAAAUACACUCAUCGAUCCCAGCUUUUUGUACAACUAGAAGUUCAAUUUGCAAAAAACUUUAUCGAAAUAUAUUAGAAUAAUAAUUUAUUGUUUAGAAGUGUUAAUACUAUAAAAUGUGACAAACAGUGAAAAUAUGUUUACUUUUCACGCUGCUUCUCUUCAGCAGUAGUUACGGUCAAGGGCGAGGUGGCAGGAAAUUGCAUGAAUUAAACAAGGCCUUUGCCGCCGAAGGGAAGCUAUAUCCUUCCAUCCGGAAGAUGAAACGAGACGCUGAAGACGUCUGGGACAGACCACCACGUGGUUAGAGCUGAUGUGAAAUAUCAACUUCUUCACAAUGCCUCCAAGAAAUCGGAUCAAUCUCUCAAACAUGGGUCAAAGGAUAAUAAGGAUUACUUUGUCUUAUUUAGAGCCAUGACUCUACUUGACUGUAAACCUUAAGUAAAUAAAAUGUUUUAAAUUAAUGUUCCUUAUGUUCUUAAGCAAUUAAAUGCACUGAUACCAGUAGAUACGAAAUAGUGCAAAAAUUUUAACACAUUACAUGUAUUAUAGAAUGCCACAAAUGGAGUUUGGUAUAUAUUUUCAAAUGAAUCUAUGUUUAUGCAUAGUGAAGGCAACAUUCUACUUAAAUGCAUAAAACAGCACAUUCAACAGACAAAUUUAUAUCCAUGUUAAAAACCUACUUUUUUUGUUAACAGGGCGCUUUAUGAAUAUUAUUAUAUAUUAUUAUUAAUCAAGAAUUCUUUGCAUUUUCUGAGAAAUGUCUUCAAAUGGUGAAAUAGUGUUAUCCCAGAGUGGCCUACAAAAUGGAAGAGGCAUUUAAUAUCAAUGUUAUAAAAAAAAUAAGGUGAAUGAGAAAGAAAGGAAAUGAAAAAAAAAACAUAUAGAAGAAAGCUACAUUGGAAACGAAGCAAAUGAGGAUUUAUAAGACGAAAUCUUAUUGAACAUUUUAUAAAGAUUACAAAACACAACUAAAUAUUAUAAGUAAAUCUUGCAUUGAAUGUUUUUUGUCGAUAAAUUAUAACGAAAUUCUUGGAAAUCCUAGAAUAAUAUUAAAUGCUAAUAGAAAUCACUCACCGGUAUCCAUAGAAGAUGCUCUUGGCGCAGUAAAAACGAUAAAAAUAAAUGAUUAAAAAUAGUGGAAUGGAAACAUUAGUAAAUAGGAAUAAGAUUAGCAUUUACUUGAAAGCUGGACUAAGUGAUAACAAAAUUUUAAAGCAUUUAAAGUCGAUUUCUUCAAACUUUUCUCAGACGCAUUGAUUUAACAAAAAUCAAGAGAAGCAACUUUUUAAUCGUACAAAGGGUGUCGCUUUAAAAAGGGGUGAUUCACACUUAUAGAAUAGAAUGAGUUAGGGCAAAAAAAUCAAUUUGAAGAAAAAGGAGUGUGUAUGCCCUGUAUUCUACCCGCAGGGAUCCGCACCUAAAGAUAUUAUUAUUAUGACUAUGGAGGCUGAAUAGAUCCACUCAAGCUUGUUUCAAAAGCAGGCAGUAAAGAUGAGAAUAAUUC